AAUGUGAGAGCCUGUAUUCUGCAGCUCCCCUGACCUCCAGACUCCACUUGGAAAUGGAAAUAGCCACAGAAGAGGAAAGGAAAAGAGAUAGAGACAUUUGAUGCAAGAAGGCCUUGAUGUGCCAUUGCUGGCUUUGAAUGUGGAGGAAGGGGUCGCAAACCAAGGAAUGUGAGCAGCCUCUAGAAGCUGGAAAAAACAAGGACAUGCAUUCUCCCUUGGACACUCCAGAAAGGAACUCAGCUCUGCUGACACCCUGAUUUUAGCCCAGGAGACUUGCCUCAGACUCUGUUACUGUAUGGUAAACAAAGUUUUGCUCUAAGACCCAGACUCCAGUGGUCCUACCAAGAUUUCUGGGAAGCUCUGAUGUCUCCACAAGUCUGUUUCUCCGACACCAGCCUCAGGCUCCCUGGUGAGUCAGAACAGACCUUACAGCUUCUCUAUAAUUUGUUGUUUUCCAUGUGAGAAGUAGCUGAGACUAUUGGUGAGUCUAGUAGGUGGACUCGGAGCCUGUGAAAAAAAUUAGCUGCCCUUCUCAACCCAAGCAUCACUCAAGAUUGCAAAGAUCUGCUUAACUGGCAGACCAACUAGAUAGUGGGAAUCAGGGACCUUGGACCCCUAGGACUCCACCCAGUACCUCAGGAUGUAUGCAAUAGACCCAGGGGUUGAACCUGUGCUUCCGCAGUAACCAAGCCGCUGCUGUCAGAUCAUUAACCCACUGCACCACAUCAAGAACUACGUAAUGAUCUUUAAACCAAAAGGAGUGAUUGUCUUUGAUAAAGAAAAUCUGUAUAUGUUUCUUCCAUCAUGUUUUAAAAGAUGAAGAGUCAGAUGGCACUUGGUUGCUUGGGGCCUCAGUAAGAAGAAUGGACAGAUGGCAGGAGCCAUCAGCAAUUAUUACCUGAAAAUGGAUAAUUUUCCUAUGAUGGGGAGUCAGGCUGAUACCACUGAAAGAGUGAUCCCAGUUCUGUUAAUCCUAUGACCUUGAGUAAAUUAUAGCACCUCUAGAAGCUUUAGUUUCCCAUCUAUAAAAUGAGGCAUUUGGUGUAAAUGAUUUCUAGGAUCUCUUCCAGCUCUGUAAUUCCAUGGUUUCUUGAGUACAAAAGUGAUAAUGCAACAAAAAUCAACUGCCAGGAACAACAAUAGAGGCCAAAUGAGCUAGCCUGAGAAUACUAAGGCAACAAACUUAAAAUGAAUCUGAAAAGCAAAGAAAAAUGUUUUAUGGGCCUGAAAAUGGGUAAAUUAAAAGAUGGAGGAAAUACUGGAUUCAAACAAAAUAAUGUAUACUUGGCAAGGGGUAUAUAUCAUAAUCUCUGUCCUAGUUUUGAUCUUUGUACUUUACUUUCCCACUGAUAGAACCCCCAAAAUUUCAUGGAUUGCAUUCGAAGGUGAGACAUUGACAUGUUACUAAAGGGGAGGUACGAUAGAGUAGCAAAUAUGGGAGUAAUAAUGUGUCCAAUUAGAGUAAUUAGAAAAAAGCAUGAUUAGAUCCAAGUUGGGACUAUUACUAUGGACAGUAGUGAGGCAUCUACUAUGCAGAAAAAGUCAAAGAUAAUUUUCAGAACAAGGAACAAAUAUUGCACAUCUUUUCUUAUGGAGAAAGAUGGGAGGCACUAAGGAAAACCAUAGAACAUAUGAAUUACAUGAUAUCUUCAUAGUACCCUUGGCAAUGGCAAUUUGGCAAGAAGUUUUUUGAGUUUGUGAGUUUGUUUACUGAGUGGGAUGACAUCUCUAUUAACAAGAAUCUUCCUACCACCCCAUACAACUCAUUCCAUUUCCAGUUGAAUCGGGUUUUUAGUUAUUUCUUACAUGGGAUAAAAUAUAGAUCUCUGUAGCAUUGAAUUGUUGGUCCUAUUUUCAGUUCCAGGACUACAAGAGGCUUGAACUGUGAGUCUCAUUCACUUCAAAAACAGCUGGCAUACACCUUUGGAAUCUCUUUUUUCAUUUGUAACUUCUGUUUCUCCUUAAUGGUCUAAUAUCCAAAUACUUCACCCUCCUUUCAUUGGAAGUUUUGUUAUCUAAAUCUGGCUUUCUAUAGCAGUCCUAGAUCCCCAUAUUUCUGUUUCCAUGUCUGCCCCAGGUUCUUAUUUGGUUUUUUCAUCAGAUAAUAAGUCUAUACAUCUGGACACAUGUAGCUUGAGCCUGUGAAAUGCGUAGAUAAGGCCCACACCUCAAUAAGCAAAGUAAGCACUAAACUACAGUGGAUAAGAUCUCAGCACUGUCUCCAUCAUUCCAAGAUUGAAAAUAAUGGUUGCCCACAGCUUUCUUCUCGAAAAAUUCAUGGAUUUAUAGCUCUGGUACCACCAAGCAAUUGCUGGCAGUCCCACUAAAUGCUUAUUCUUUAACAUUUGCACAGAUUAACGUGGCUGUAUAACCUCAUAUAACAGCCACACCAGAGAUCUGAUGUAAUGUUAGACUCUAGGAAGAAAAUUCAGAAUAUCUUAAUAAAGGCAAAUUUGUCAAUAUAUUGCUCAAUAUUUUAAACAGCUUAAUAUAGCAGGAUGGCCACAGAUUUGGAAUUAUGAAGAACUGAAUUCAAAUUGUAGUUCUGCCACUUUACUGACAUUUGGCUUUGGAAGGACUGAAUUUGAUCAUAAUGCUAAAAUGUCUGGUACAGUCUAUGAUACACAGUAAUUGCCCAGUAAUUGUUACCAUCUUUAUUCCUUUUCCUGGGAAACAAUCCCACAUUGUAUUUUCUGAGACUUCUUAGAAAUCUCAAAGCAACACAUUUUCAUAUCUUCAUUUGAAAUAAGCUUCCUAGCUAAGAAAUACAUCCUGUUAACCAAGACAUCUGCCUCUUUGUACAUUUCCUUAACAGUGUGAUUAGUGACGCUGGACCCCUCGCAGUGAUUUUUCCUCUUUGGGCUUAUACUCAGUCACGUUGCCCCACUGCACACAUCACCAGCUUCUGUACUUAAUCAUCUGUGUCACUCUCAUGACUCCGAAUUAACUGCAGUGGAAUGAACAGGAGAUUGUUUGGCAUCUGGCCGAGGCUGAGUGAGCAUUUCUAAUGGGGGCUGAGCUGGGGCUGCUGAACUUUGAAAAUUCUUGCAAACUGAAGAAAGCAAAUGCCACUUUUUGAAAAUCUGGAGAAAGAUCAAAAAAAAAAAAAAAAAAAAAAAAA
rnacentral:lncRNA from 9 species